rnacentral:rRNA from 1 species
AACGAACGCUGGCGGCAUGCCUAAUACAUGCAAGUCGAACGAGAUCUUCGGAUCUAGUGGCGCACGGGUGCGUAACGCGUGGGAAUCUGCCCUUGGGUUCGGAAUAACUUCUGGAAACGGAAGCUAAUACCGGAUGAUGACGUAAGUCCAAAGAUUUAUCGCCCAAGGAUGAGCCCGCGUAGGAUUAGCUAGUUGGUGGGGUAAAGGCCCACCAAGGCGACGAUCCUUAGCUGGUCUGAGAGGAUGAUCAGCCACACUGGGACUGAGACACGGCCCAGACUCCUACGGGAGGCAGCAGUAGGGAAUAUUGGACAAUGGGCGAAAGCCUGAUCCAGCAAUGCCGCGUGAGUGAUGAAGGCCUUAGGGUUGUAAAGCUCUUUUACCCGGGAUGAUAAUGACAGUACCGGGAGAAUAAGCUCCGGCUAACUCCGUGCCAGCAGCCGCGGUAAUACGGAGGGAGCUAGCGUUGUUCGGAAUUACUGGGCGUAAAGCGCACGUAGGCGGCUAUUCAAGUCAGAGGUGAAAGCCCGGGGCUCAACCCCGGAACUGCCUUUGAAACUAGAUAGCUUGAAUCCAGGAGAGGUGAGUGGAAUUCCGAGUGUAGAGGUGAAAUUCGUAGAUAUUCGGAAGAACACCAGUGGCGAAGGCGGCUCACUGGACUGGUAUUGACGCUGAGGUGCGAA